AUUGAACGCUGGCGGAAUGCUUUACACAUGCAAGUCGAACGGCAGCACGGGGGCAACCCUGGUGGCGAGUGGCGAACGGGUGAGUAAUACAUCGGAACGUGCCCAGUCGUGGGGGAUAACGUAGCGAAAGUUACGCUAAUACCGCAUACGAUCUACGGAUGAAAGCGGGGACCGGUAAGGCCUCGGGCGAUGGGGCCGGCGGAUGUCAGAUUAGGUAGUUGGAGAGGUAAAGGCUCACCAAGCCGACGAUCUGUAGCUGGUCUGAGAGGACGACCAGCCACACUGGGACUGAGACACGGCCCAGACUCCUACGGGAGGCAGCAGUGGGGAAUUUUGGACAAUGGGCGCAAGCCUGAUCCAGCCAUUCCGCGUGCAGGACGAAGGCCUUCGGGUUGUAAACUGCUUUUGUACGGAACGAAAAGGCUCUGGUUAAUACCUGGGGCUCAUGACGGUACCGUAAGAAUAAGCACCGGCUAACUACGUGCCAGCAGCCGCCGUAA
rnacentral:rRNA from 1 species